AUUGAACGCUGGCGGCAUGCCUUACACAUGCAAGUCGAACGGUAACAGGCCGCAAGGUGCUGACGAGUGGCGAACGGGUGAGUAAUGCAUCGGAACGUGCCCAGUCGUGGGGGAUAACGCAGCGAAAGCUGCGCUAAUACCGCAUACGAUCUAUGGAUGAAAGCGGGGGACCGAAAGGCCUCGCGCGAUUGGAGCGGCCGAUGUCAGAUUAGGUAGUUGGUGGGGUAAAGGCUCACCAAGCCAACGAUCUGUAGCUGGUCUGAGAGGACGACCAGCCACACUGGGACUGAGACACGGCCCAGACUCCGACGGGAGGCAGCAGUGGGGAAUUUUGGACAAUGGGCGCAAGCCUGAUCCAGCAAUGCCGCGUGCAGGAAGAAGGCCUUCGGGUUGUAAACUGCUUUUGUACGGAACGAAACGGUCCGGGUUAAUACCCUGGGCUAAUGACGGUACCGUAAGAAUAAGCACCGGCUAACUACGUGCCAGCCGCCGCCGUAAGAC
rnacentral:rRNA from 1 species